GCACCGUUAGUGUAGCGGUUAUCAUCCCAGCCUUCCAUUCAAUCGUCGACCGUUGCCUGUAGCUGGGGACUCGGGUUCGACUCCCGAACGGUGCA
rnacentral:tRNA from 1 species